CCUUGUACACACCGCCCGUCAACUCAUGGAAGCCGGUAGCGCCCAAAGCCGCCAGAUUUCACUGGCGUCUACGGCAAGAUCGGUGACUGGGAGU
rnacentral:rRNA from 1 species